rnacentral:piRNA from 1 species
UCUGCUACAUUUGCAGUUGGAGCCAUGGGU